rnacentral:rRNA from 1 species
AACGAACGCUGGCGGCAGGCCUAACACAUGCAAGUCGAACGCUCCAGCAAUGGAGAGUGGCAGACGGGUGAGUAACGCGUGGGAACCUUCCCAGUGGUACGGUAUAGCUCAGGGAAACUUGAGGUAAUACCGUAUACGCCCUUCGGGGGAAAGAUUUAUCGCCAUUGGAUGGGCCCGCGUCGGAUUAGCUAGUUGGUGAGGUAACGGCUCACCAAGGCGACGAUCCGUAGCUGGUCUGAGAGGAUGAUCAGCCACACUGGGACUGAGACACGGCCCAGACUCCUACGGGAGGCAGCAGUGGGGAAUAUUGGACAAUGGGCGCAAGCCUGAUCCAGCCAUGCCGCGUGAGUGACGAAGGCCUUAGGGUUGUAAAGCUCUUUUGGCGGGGAAGAUAAUGACGGUACCCGCAGAAUAAGCUCCGGCUAACUUCGUGCCAGCCGCCGCGGUAAGAC